UACGAAGGGUGCAAGCGUUAAUCGGAAUUACUGGGCGUAAAGGGUGCGUAGGCGGUUGUUUAAGUCUGUCGUGAAAUCCCCGGGCUCGACCUGGGAAUGGCGAUGGAUACUGGGCAGCUAGAGUGUGUCAGAGGAUGGUGGAAUUCCCGGUGUAGCGGUGAAAUGCGUAGAGAUCGGGAGGAACAUCAGUGGCGAAGGCGGCCAUCUGGGACAACACUGACGCUGAAGCACGAAAGCGUGGGGAGCAAACAGG
rnacentral:rRNA from 1 species